GACGAACGCUGGCGGCGUGCUUAACACAUGCAAGUCGAACGAUGAAGCUUGGUGCUUGCACUGGGUGGAUGAGUGGCGAACGGGUGAGUAAUACGUGAGUAACCUGCCCUUGACACUGGGAUAAGCCUGGGAAACUGGGUCUAAUACUGGAUAAGACAUGUCACCGCAUGGUGGUGUGUGGAAAGGGUGUUAGUGGGUUUGGAUAGGCUCACGGCGUAUCAGAUUGUUGGGGGGGUAAUGGCACCCCAAGGCGACGAAGGGUAGCGGACCUGAGAGGGUGGCCGGCCACCCUGGGACUGCGAGACGGCCCAGUCUCCUACCGGACGCAGCAGUGGGGAAUAUUGCACAGUGGGCGGAAGCCUGAUGCAGCGACGCCGCGUUCGUGAUGACCGCCUUCGGGUUGUAAACCUCUUUCUGCGCGGAUGAAGCGAUAGUGACGGUACGUGCAGAAAAAGCCCCGGCUAACUACGUG
rnacentral:rRNA from 1 species